UUUCACAACAGCCCCUCGUCUGGGCCUUGCUGAUUGCACCAAGGGAGAUGGGGCAGGGAGACCUAUCUGGAAAUUCAUCACAUCUCUGUUGGGCUCAAGUCAGUGUGCGUGAGGUCAGCGGUGCAGCUUGGAAAUUUUAGAUCCUGGAUUUCAUGGACUGGCAGGAGAGUCAGGGACCUUCCACGUGCAAAAGAGAGGCUCCGCCACUGAGCUCUUACUCUUCCAUCUGAUCCAGCACAGCUCUCUUGAUGAUCCACAUCCAAGAAGGAUAGCAGGAAAAGGCCCAGAAACAGCCAGGUGACCCUGCAAGGACGGAGGAAGGUGGCGCUACUAAGCACCUGGGUCUCGCUGUCCUGUCUGAAGGCUAAACCGCAUGCGUUUUCACGUCCAAAGCUGUCUGCUUGCCAGCAAUUCAGUUGAUGCGAAGCGGGCCGUUUGACUGUUUCACAAAUCCUACCCUCCGUAAACUGAGGAUCGUUA